rnacentral:rRNA from 1 species
UACGGAGGGUGCAAACGUUGCUCGGAAUCAUUGGGCGUAAAGCGCACGUAGGCGGCUCGUUAAGUCGGAUGUGAAAGCCCUGGGCUCAACCCAGGAAGUGCAUACGAAACUGGCGAGCUUGAGUAUGGAAGAGGAUCGCGGAAUUCCCGGUGUAGAGGUGAAAUUCGUAGAUAUCGGGAGGAACACCUGUGGCGAAAGCGGCGCACUGGACCACAACUGACGCUGAGGCGCGAAAGCUAGGGGAGCAAACAGG